AGAGUUUGAUUCUGGCUCAGAACGAACGCUGGCGGCAUGGAUUAGGCAUGCAAGUUGAACGAACUCCUUCGGGAGUGAGUAGCGGAAGGGUGAGGAACGCGUGAGUAAUCUGCCCCCCAGUUGGGAAUAACAGUUGGAAACGACUGCUAAUACCGAAUGUGGCUUAAGCUUCGCCUGGAGCUUUGGCUAAAGAUUUAUCGCUGGGGGAUGAGCUCGCGUCCCAUUAGGUAGUUGGUGAGGUAACGGCUCACCAAGCCGACGAUGGGUAGCUGGUCUGAGAGGAUGGUCAGCCACACUGGGACUGAGACACUGCCCAGACUCCUACGGGAGGCUGCAGUCGAGAAUCUUGGGCAAUGCGCGAAAGCGUGACCCAGCAAUGCCGCGUGUAUGAUGAAGGCCCUCGGGUCGUAAAGUACUGUCUCCCGUGACGAAAUUUGACGGUAGCGGGGAAGGAAGCCACGGCUAACUACGUGCCAGCCGCCGC
rnacentral:rRNA from 1 species